rnacentral:lncRNA from 1 species
GGGAGGGAGGGUACAAAGACAUUUUAAAGACAUCUAAUAUCAUCCAGAAUGAUGGGCCAGGGUAAGUAAGCUGGUAAACUACAUUUUAAAGAAUGGCUGGAGGCAAUGUGGGUGUCCCUAACUACAUAAUGAAACAUAGCACUUUAAGACAGAGCGAUGAAAAUGCCUCACCAACUGAUGCUCUGCUUGACGGUAUGGUAUUUUUGUUCCAUACUUGGAAUCCAUUAUUUGACAAUGUACUCCUUUGGAAAUUGCUAAGGUUUAUCUUAUCCCUUUAUCAAAACUUUUUUUUUUAAACCUGAACUCUUUUGCUUGAGACAGUAUUGCUUUCAAGCUUAAAAAUAAAUGCUCUGUGAUACACAGUUCCUAACUCAAGCAAGAGAUCUGACACACUGUAUGAGAAGCAUUUAGUAUAUAAAGACAGGCAGUUGAGCCUCAGGGCUUUCAGUUACAUUACCAGAACAGAAGUAUU